ACUCCUACGGGAGGCAGCAGUGGGGAAUUUUCCGCAAUGGGCGAAAGCCUGACGGAGCAACGCCGCGUGAGGGAUGAAGGCCUCUGGGCUGUAAACCUCUUUUCUCAAGGAAGAAGAUCUGACGGUACUUGAGGAAUAAGCCACGGCUAAUUCCGUGCCAGCAGCCGCGGUAAUAC
rnacentral:rRNA from 1 species